ensembl:lncRNA
CAGGGACAUGAUUUAGUGAGAGCUGUUGGUGAUGGGUGGAUGGUUGGAUUGGGUGAUCCUGGGUUUUUUCCAGCCUUGAUGAGUCUAUGAUCCCUGCCUACUUAAGGCCUUCCAACGAUCCAUUAUGUGGUGCUCCUCAAAGACAUCCAGACAACGCGUUUAGGCAAGAUGCAGUGAUUUGGAAAAUAGCUGCCAGCCACACAGGUAUUGACAUAUAGAAGAAGUUCUGUGCAAAAUCUUUAAAAUUUUUAUUCUGACUCCUCUUCAGUUCAUCAUGGUGUUAUUAAUUACUAUUAGCACUGAUAGCAUAAAGAUGUAAACGCUUGUUUGUUCACAGCUUUAUAUACAACAUCACAGAGAAGGCUGUUAGGUAUGUGACACUGAGAACAAAAAAAGAAGAGUAAAACCAGAGGAAACAUUUAGUGAAUUAAAGUAUGAAAAGGAAAUCUAUUUACACAUUAAUCUAUACAUCAUCGUAUUCUGUACAUUUUGUAAAAAAAUAAUCACAUUCAUUUACAUCAUCUUUAAUUGUUACUGUACUCAACAGAUAAAAAGUUAUAAAGACAACAGAAGAGAAUUUCUAAACAAUACUCAUACUAAUGCUCCAGAAAGGGGGCAGGGGGGAAAGCUGCAGGUUAUGAGGAAUUUACUACAGUGCUUUGGGGAAUAAAGAAUUUGGGGAUAUUUCAGCCAUUGUUUUAGCUGAUGAUGGAAAUGGUACAGAAACACUGUCAUCAUUGGGCAGAACCAGAUUAAACACAGAAUGGUUAAAUCAUAUCAAAGAUUGCUUUUUUAAGUAGCUGACAUACUGAUUUACUGAUACGUGCUGAUAUACUCAUAAUAUAAAUGUCAGAAUUUAUUUGAGCAACAGAAUAGUAUUGUAUACUACCUGCUGCUAUUUGGUUAUGUCAAGGUGGCAGUACUGAUGGCCCAUAGCUUAUCUAGGCACUCAUGGUAAUGUGAAGGAACUUCUGCUUGUAAAAGUAAUUCCAGAAUUACCUUGCAGAAACAGCAAUUGCUCAGACAAUAACCCUAACACACCAAGUAGCUUUCUCUACGAGCUACUUGCCAGUUGUACUUUUUUAUCGGACAUAUUUAAUGUUUAAUUUUCAUUAAAGUUGUCUAAAAACUGUAGAAAUGAGUUUGGACUUCAUUCACAAUCACUUUGCUGAAAUGGACAAAUUGAAUGUCAACAGGAUAAGUUUUUUAGCACUCACAAGAGCAGGAGACAAACAAGGGAAAUGACUCAACUCAGUCCUCAUGCUCGGUGUGUGAGACAUGCACUUGGCAAUGACUUAUUUCACAUGUGGUCAGACUGCACAGUUUGCUGAGGUGCUCAGCUUUCCCCUUCAUGUUAAAGGCAGAGGGAAACCUGUCUGCGGUGUGUCAGGGUGUGAGGUGCUACACAAUGGGGCAAGCUGCCUUUGACUUGACUCUAUAAGGCUUUUUAAACUGUUGCCUUUUGUAGCAAGUUAUUGAUGCUAUGGUACAGUCCCAGCAUAUGCUUAAACUGGGUAGUUCCUCAGCUGCUACAUGCAGCACACAUCACUACUUUGGUGCAGUCUGUUGGGCUCUAGCGCAUUCUAGAGCAGUAUACAUGGAGUAGCUACUUAAAUACAUGUCACAUACAACAUUUGGUGGAAACCAGCACUGCUCUCAGUGGCAUAAAGGAUGCUUUCCACAAUCCUAAUGUUAUUUUGCGAAGCAUGUUAAUGCACCUGAGCCAGACACCAAGGUCAGCAUACCUUAACAACGUUACUGAUUUACAUGGUGAGAAAUCAAGUCAGUAAUACUCUCACUUCCUGUCA